GAAAUGCGAUAAGUAAUGUGAAUUGCAGAAUUCAGUGAAUCAUCGAAUCUUUGAACGCACAUUGCGCCCCCCGGUAUUCCGGGGGGCAUGCCUGUCCGAGCGUCAUUACUGCCCUCAAGCGCGGCUUGUGUGUUGGGCGUUCGCCCCCCACCGGGGGGCGUGCCCGAAAGGCAGUGGCGGCGCCGUGCCCGGUCCUCGAGCGUAUGGGGCUCUGUCACCCGCUCUGGAGGCCUGGCCGGCUGCCGCCGACCCCCUCAGACCUUACCACGGUUGACCUCGGAUCAGGCAGGGAUACCCGCUGAACUUAA
rnacentral:misc_RNA from 1 species